AAAUUUCAUGUGUGAGCAUCGCGUCGAUGGCAAUGUCAGGGGUUUCCUUUCCAAUUGUUUUAGGAUGCUGGAAGGAAGGGAUCCUUUCUGACACCCAGGCCGAUUUGAUUUAGGUUUUCUUUAUUUGUAAGCUCCGAACUCCCUCCGUUAACUGGGAGCAACUAAAGACAAAUUUGUCGCCGAAGUAUCCCUUGACUCCUGAGGUCGUUUGUGUUCGUUGCCAAAACACAAUGGAAUCUGAAGUUACAAAUGAUCUUGUUCAGAGGCGGCUAUUCAACGAAGGGAGCACACCGAACAGUAGUCCCGUGCCUGCAUCCACCUUAGACAAUGGAUUGAGAGUACCGAAGGAGAAUUCAGCAGAUCAUCAAACACCGCGGGAUGGGGUGUCCAGGUCGUUCACGUCCAUCGUUGGUAUUUUAGCUCUCUUAGCUGCUGUGGCAGCAACGUACGUCGUGGAAGCGGGCGGUGAUGGCAAUGUUUUUCUCUCUGCGCCUGCACAACUUGCAGUAGUCGCGUUGCUCUGGGGAUGUGCGUCGUUUGCUUUCACAUGGUGGUACACAUACUUUGAUUCGCAUGACCCUGGAAGUUUUCCAUCAAGUCCUUUAAAACUUGCCACUACAGCUAACUCAAUGCCAAGCGCUGGGGCGCAAUGGCAUUUCUCCUACAUCAUGGCACCUGUGAAUGGCGUAAUGGCAAUGCUUAUGUACAUCUACUGGAAACUCUUGUGGCCCGGUGUUGGCACGAACUGACAAAUUAACACGUCUACUGGAUGGCGCUACAAUGCUCCCUUGAGUUUUAUAAAGAUUGCCUGACGUAUUGCCCGUGGAAAUCACCCGACUCCAGUAAGCCAUUUGCUGCCGUGCUGCUUUCUUAGCCGGCUGCUGAAGCAAGCUGCUGUACUGCUAGUCUGCGGGGUUUCCCCGGCAUGAAACUAUCCGGAACACACAGUCUUGUUGAUUCACUGAUACGAUGUGGACAAGCACCAUUGGCCUGAAGCAGCUGCUCUGCCAUGCUGUGCCCUGCUUUGCCCGGCUGUGUGAUAUUGCACACACAGCGCCGUGGCUACGUCUAUAUUUACGCUGAAUUAAAUAUUUGUUGUUGGGUGCCAGAUGCUUCGCCUGUUGAUGUCGCCUGAAACAAGCUUGUGCCCUCUGCAGCCCGCUGCGCUGUGCUUGGCCUUUGACGACCAUUGUGAGACAUUUCCCCGUAUAUUACUAGUGGAGUUUUGCAUACGUCGGAUCUAUUGACAUGUUCAGUCCCUUUUUAUUAGCCUGAGAAUGUGUUGGCAUGAUCAUGUUUCUGGUCAUAUGAUACCUAUCAUGUGGAAGUAAGACGCCAAGUGUAGAAUGUACCACCAUGCACUCUACAUGUACAUGCAUACUAAGUCUUGUUUUUAGCACGUCUAGAUUGACCCUUUUACUUUCCCUACCUGGUCCCGUGCCCCAUCUUAGUCAUGUAGCCGUGCUCCUGGCAAUGCAGCGUGCUGGCCACCUCUGCAUCCCAUUUGUUAUGCUUUCCGAAUAUUUCGCUGUAAGUUUGGUUGUUUACGGCUACGUCUUUGUAAGAGUUUUUAUCGUUCAUGAUUAGUUUUAUAUGUCUUGUUAGCAAGCUUUCUUGUGUACGUUUUUUAAGUAUCCGGAAUUAUCAUCUGGUGACAUGUGUCUGUUUGCAGCACAUUGAAAGUUGAUUUAUUAGGCCCGACAAUACUAGAGAAAAAUAACUGGCCUGGCCUCCAA